GAAGGAAAUUAAGUACGGAAGUUCCUGAUUUCACGCUGUCAAGAAAAGCCUCUAGGAAGAGUAGUACUGCCCGUACCGCAAACCGACACAGGUAGAUGAGGAGAGAAUCCUAAGGUGAGCGAGAGAACUCUCGUUAAGGAACUCGGCAAAAUGACCCCGUAACUUCGGGAGAAGGGGUGCUCUAUUAGGGUGCAAGCCCGAGAGAGCCGCAGUGAAUAGGCCCAGGCGACUGUUUAGCAAAAACACAGGUCUCUGCAAAACCGUAAGGUGACGUAUAGGGGCUGACGCCUGCCCGGUGCUGGAAGGUUAAGAGGAGUGCUUAGCUUCGGCGAAGGUACGAAUUGAAGCCCCAGUAAACGGCGGCCGUAACUAUAACGGUCCUAAGGUAGCGAAAUUCCUUGUCGGGUAAGUUCCGACCCGCACGAAAGGCGCAACGAUCUGGGCACUGUCUCAACGAGAGACUCGGUGAAAUUAUAGUACCUGUGAAGAUGCAGGUUACCCGCGACAGGACGGAAAGACCCCGUGGAGCUUUACUGCAACCUGAUAUGGAAUGUUUGUACCGCUUGUACAGGAUAGGUAGGAGCCGAAGAGACGUGUGCGCUAGCAUACGAGGAGGCAAUGGUGGGAUACUACCCUGGCUGUAUGACCAUUCUAACCCGCCACGCUUAGCGCGUGGGGAGACAGUGUCAGGUGGGCAGUUUGACU
rnacentral:rRNA from 1 species